rnacentral:rRNA from 1 species
UUAAGUUAUUAAGGGCGCACGGUGGAUGCCUUGGCACUAGAAGCCGAUGAAGGACGUUACUAACGACGAUAUGCUUUGGGGAGCUGUAAGUAAGCUUUGAUCCAGAGAUUUCCGAAUGGGGAAACCCAGCAUGAGUUAUGUCAUGUUAUCGAUAUGUGAAUACAUAGCAUAUCAGAAGGCACACCCGGAGAACUGAAACAUCUUAGUACCCGGAGGAAGAGAAAGAAAAUUCGAUUCCCUUAGUAGCGGCGAGCGAAACGGGAAGAGCCCAAACCAAAAAGCUUGCUUGUUGGGGUUGUAGGACACUCUAUACGGAGUUACAAAGGACGACAUUAGACGAAUCAUCUGGAAAGAUGAAUCAAAGAAGGUAAUAAUCCUGUAGUCGAAAAUGUUGUCUCUCUUGAGUGGAUCCUGAGUACGACGGAGCACGUGAAAUUCCGUCGGAAUCUGGGAGGACCAUCUCCUAAGGCUAAAUACUCUCUAGUGACCGAUAGUGAACCAGUACCGUGAGGGAAAGGUGAAAAGCACCCCGGAAGGGGAGUGAAAUAGAACCUGAAACCGUGUGCUUACAAGUAGUCAGAGCCCGUUAAUGGGUGAUGGCGUGCCUUUUGUAGAAUGAACCGGCGAGUUACGAUUUGAUGCAAGGUUAAGCAGUAAAUGUGGAGCCGUAGCGAAAGCGAGUCUGAAUAGGGCGUUUAGUAUUUGGUCGUAGACCCGAAACCAGGUGAUCUACCCUUGGUCAGGUUGAAGUUCAGGUAACACUGAAUGGAGGACCGAACCGACUUACGUUGAAAAGUGAGCGGAUGAACUGAGGGUAGCGGAGAAAUUCCAAUCGAACCUGGAGAUAGCUGGUUCUCUCCGAAAUAGCUUUAGGGCUAGCCUCAAGUGAUGAUUAUUGGAGGUAGAGCACUGUUUGGACGAGGGGCCCCUCUCGGGUUACCGAAUUCAGACAAACUCCGAAUGCCAAUUAAUUUAACUUGGGAGUCAGAACAUGGGUGAUAAGGUCCGUGUUCGAAAGGGAAACAGCCCAGACCACCAGCUAAGGUCCCAAAAUAUAUGUUAAGUGGAAAAGGAUGUGGCGUUGCCCAGACAACUAGGAUGUUGGCUUAGAAGCAGCCAUCAUUUAAAGAGUGCGUAAUAGCUCACUAGUCGAGUGACACUGCGCCGAAAAUGUACCGGGGCUAAACAUAUUACCGAAGCUGUGGAUUGUCCUUUGGACAAUGGUAGGAGAGCGUUCUAAGGGCGUUGAAGCAUGAUCGUAAGGACAUGUGGAGCGCUUAGAAGUGAGAAUGCCGGUGUGAGUAGCGAAAGACGGGUGAGAAUCCCGUCCACCGAUUGACUAAGGUUUCCAGAGGAAGGCUCGUCCGCUCUGGGUUAGUCGGGUCCUAAGCUGAGGCCGACAGGCGUAGGCGAUGGAUAACAGGUUGAUAUUCCUGUACCACCUAUAAUCGUUUUAAUCGAUGGGGGGACGCAGUAGGAUAGGCGAAGCGUGCGAUUGGAUUGCACGUCUAAGCAGUAAGGCUGAGUAUUAGGCAAAUCCGGUACUCGUUAAGGCUGAGCUGUGAUGGGGAGAAGACAUUGNGUCUUCGAGUCGUUGAUUUCACACUGCCGAGAAAAGCCUCUAGAUAGAAAAUAGGUGCCCGUACCGCAAACCGACACAGGUAGUCAAGAUGAGAAUUCUAAGGUGAGCGAGCGAACUCUCGUUAAGGAACUCGGCAAAAUGACCCCGUAACUUCGGGAGAAGGGGUGCUCUUUAGGGUUAACGCCCAGAAGAGCCGCAGUGAAUAGGCCCAAGCGACUGUUUAUCAAAAACACAGGUCUCUGCUAAACCGUAAGGUGAUGUAUAGGGGCUGACGCCUGCCCGGUGCUGGAAGGUUAAGAGGAGUGGUUAGCUUCUGCGAAGCUACGAAUCGAAGCCCCAGUAAACGGCGGCCGUAACUAUAACGGUCCUAAGGUAGCGAAAUUCCUUGUCGGGUAAGUUCCGACCCGCACGAAAGGCGUAACGAUUUGGGCACUGUCUCAACGAGAGACUCGGUGAAAUCAUAGUACCUGUGAAGAUGCAGGUUACCCGCGACAGGACGGAAAGACCCCGUGGAGCUUUACUGUAGCCUGAUAUUGAAAUUCGGCACAGCUUGUACAGGAUAGGUAGGAGCCUUUGAAACGUGAGCGCUAGCUUACGUGGAGGCGCUGGUGGGAUACUACCCUAGCUGUGUUGGCUUUCUAACCCGCACCACUUAUCGUGGUGGGAGACAGUGUCAGGCGGGCAGUUUGACUGGGGCGGUCGCCUCCUAAAAGGUAACGGAGGCGCUCAAAGGUUCCCUCAGAAUGGUUGGAAAUCAUUCAUAGAGUGUAAAGGCAUAAGGGAGCUUGACUGCGAGACCUACAAGUCGAGCAGGGUCGAAAGACGGACUUAGUGAUCCGGUGGUUCCGCAUGGAAGGGCCAUCGCUCAACGGAUAAAAGCUACCCCGGGGAUAACAGGCUUAUCUCCCCCAAGAGUUCACAUCGACGGGGAGGUUUGGCACCUCGAUGUCGGCUCAUCGCAUCCUGGGGCUGUAGUCGGUCCCAAGGGUUGGGCUGUUCGCCCAUUAAAGCGGUACGCGAGCUGGGUUCAGAACGUCGUGAGACAGUUCGGUCCCUAUCCGUCGUGGGCGUAGGAAAUUUGAGAGGAGCUGUCCUUAGUACGAGAGGACCGGGAUGGACAUACCUCUGGUGUACCAGUUGUCGUGCCAACGGCAUAGCUGGGUAGCUAUGUGUGGACGGGAUAAGUGCUGAAAGCAUCUAAGCAUGAAGCCCCCCUCAAGAUGAGAUUUCCCAACUUCGGUUAUAAGAUCCCUCAAAGAUGAUGAGGUUAAUAGGUUCGAGGUGGAAGCAUGGUGACAUGUGGAGCUGACGAAUACUAAUCGAUCGAAGACUUAAUCAA